CUGGGACUUGUAGUCUUUUUGUUUUUGCUGGAUUGUGUAUUCCUAGCCAGUGAUCGGGCGGGAGCUCCGCUCUCCUUCGCAGCAGAAAACAUCCAGGCAAAGCUGUUGAGUCGGGAGGCUGAUAUAUUCAGCAGAAUGUUCUGCAGCAGCUACUGUGUGCAGGCCGCCGCAUCAGGCAAAGAGAAAGAAACGGCUCUGGCUCCCACUGCAGUCGGUCCCAAGUCCCAGAUGUGGCAAGGAAAUGAUCAACAGCCGCAGGCCUGAGGAACCUCUCAAACGGGUUCCUGCUCCUGCGCAGACCUUCGGGAGGGCCUCCUGCCUUCUUGUAGUGUCAUGUAAGACCACAAAACCUGAAGCAUCCCAGCUGGGGCGAGCCAUUUUAAUAUUGAAGAUGGAAGAAAAUAUGCAACAUUUUUGGCCUGUUAUCCUUUAUUAUUUCAAGAAAGGUAAAAAUGCAACUGAAAUGCAACACAAGACUUGUGCAGUGUAUGGAAAAGGUGCUGUGACUGAUCAAACAUGUUACAAGCAGUUUGUGAAAUUUCUUGGUACUACUGACAUUUUAGCCAAAUAAUUCUUUGCUGUGGGGCUGUCCAUGCUUUGCAAGAUGUUUAGAAGCACCCCUGGCCUCUACCCACUUGAAGCCAACAGCAGGAGAUAGCUGACAUAUGGUGAAAAUGAAAAAUAUGUCUUUUAAUUUCCAGAAGAAAGUAAAUGAACUUUUGGGUCAACCCAAUAUUUCAGCUCAGGCCCAGAAAAGCAGACCAGCAAUGCCACCAGCUGCGCUGAAUAAGGACACCCUGCCCUGGCCCUGACCACCCCAAGGCAGGCCAGAACCCCGAGAGGACACACCUGGGAAGCUGAUGAUACGUCCCCUGAAGAUGAACAUUGGGCAAUGCUGAACAACUACCUUGUCCUUUUACAGUACCUGCCUGGGAUAAUGGAGGAAAAGCCCUUUAAAAUUACUCAUGGGGAUUAAAAAAAUCAUAAAGAUCAAUAAAAAUAGGCAAGAAACUUGUUGGAGAAAGAGAGAGAGAAAAUAUGACCAGAAGUAUGUGUAGUGGGGGUAGGAGUCAAAAGGAGAAGUGAAGGAGGGAGGGACGGUUGCUUGUUUUAGGCUUCUACCUGGAGCCAUUAGGGAAAUGGAGGUGGUCUGGAAAGAGGGUCGUGGAGUGGGGCUGCAGAAUAAACAGCCCCAGCUGCACCUCAGGAUGGUGAGGAAACAGCCACCAGGACUGGCCUGAACCCGGAGGAACAUUCUGGAGGUGCCACCUCUGCGGUCGUUGGGGAUGAGUAAACCAGGAGUCAGGAGGUGUGGAUUCUCAUCCAGGUUUUUACCACCUUGAGUGAGUUAUGUCACCGGUGGGCCCAGGUUCUUCCUCAAAAAGGAGGGCUGGACUACUGCCGGCGCUCUGCGUGAGUGGGCCUGGCACCCACGUUCAUUCUGCGCCCUCAGUUCUUGCUGGGCUUCUGGGAUCUCGGUCACUAUGGCCCUCUGCAGGAGCACACACCAGGGAUGUAGGGCCGUGUGGCCUCCUGAAGGGCGUCCACAUCCUGGUUCCCAUGAGACCUCGUUCUACAGAAGGAACCACACGGGCUCUACUGUCCUUCUGGGCUUCGGGGCUCAGGGCUGCUUACUCUUUGUGACCCACUCAGCUUCUCUCUGUCAGAUCAGCCCUCGUCCCCAGCUGGAUCACUGUUGUGGGGUGUGUGAGCUUUGGCAAGGGGUGGGGACAACUUGCAGUUGCACUGACACACGAGAUGCAACAGGGACACCUCCUGGCCAGGCCACCCCGUUCCCUGCCGGUCACUUCACCGGACUAUCUGUCGUCACAGCCAUGGCCCCAAACCUUGUUCUUCCUCAGGGAUCAGGGGUGGGGCAUCCAUGUCUUCCCUUGGAGCCCUGGCACCAGUGCUGGGAGAUGGGGACCAGGUCAGGGAGGGUGGCGGUGGCACU